AACAAGAAGGGGGAAAAAAGCAUUAUUAUUGUCAUUAAUAUUGUCAUCACCAUCAACAUUCCCAUUAUUUUAAAUCAGUUGACUACAUUUUACGAAAGCCUAGCAGGGAAGCAGCAAUGUCCCCAAAUCAUCCAUAAGGUGGUGCUAGUUGACUGCUUGAGAGAGACCUGCAGUGCAGCUAUUUGCUGGGGGGAAAAAAAUCUGAUUUUAAAAAUGUGUCCUUAUUAGACACAUUAUCUGUGCAAAACAUAUUUCUAUGAGAUGAUACACAAAGCAAUUCAGCUCAUUCACAUAAUGAUUUUGCAAUUUCGUUGACAGAUCAUUAUUUUGGAAAUGUUAUGUUUUUCGUGGUAUUUGCAGACAUGCCAAUUUUUCAAUUUUCUUUCACAAAUCAGAAAUGCCUAUUAUUUAAUGCUAAGCUUUUCCUCACUAAAAAGUGUAAGCCAACACUGCCAGAAAUUAAUUUUUUUUUAAGAUUCAUCUGAUGACUCCAAGAUCCCUGUCCCUUGCAGUAACCAAACGACCUUGGUGUUCAAAAAGAUGCAAGCCGGCCUGCCCCAAAAUCCGACCACUAUGCAUGCCACCAGCAUUAUUUCCUUUCCAUUUUCUAGAGAACAUGUCUGCUAAUUAUUACAGUGGCUUGAGGAAGGUGAAAUAAGCCUGUUUAAACAGUAAAACUAAAGCCAAUUUAAAUUAUACACUAAUGUUCUGGAAAAUAAACAUGGAAGUCGGUUUGAAGGAAAAUGCUGUAAUGUUUCAGCACUGAAUAUUUCUAGAACUUGAAAAAAUAAAAAUUAAGCAUCUCCACUACAUAACGUGAGGAUAUAUCUGCAUUUAAAGUUAUAAUGGCCAAGCUAUAUUUGUGCUGUUUUCACUACAUAACCCUCAUGAGAAAUCACUCAUCUUUCACACUUGAUACACAGAGAUGCAUAUUCUGAGAAAGCAAAAGCCUAGAAUGUUGAAUAAAUAUGGAAAAAGGAAAUAUAGGAAAUGGGGGGGGGGAAUUCUGAAGUGCAGCAUAUUUUGACUCUGGGGCUAGCUUUUAGGGACAAAGAGGAUAUUCAAUUUAGUCUUUCCAUGUAAUACUGACAAAGAUGAAAUAUUCCUGUGUACAUCUGGGGGACAUGUUCUAGUUCUCAAUGCAAGUGAUAUAGAAAGACAAAAUAUUUGUAUUAAGACUGUUUUUUGCUUUAUUUUAAUUCUAACAUUACUUUUAUGGGGGUGUCCAUAUGAUUAACCAAUCCAGAAACAAUGAAUGUAUGUGCAAAACGAACAUUGAAGUGCAUACAUUUAUACAUGCAGUUUAACAUAAACCCUAGAUAGAUUUUUUCCUAUUUUGCAGGAAUAAUGAAAAAUACAGAGGGCCUUCCUGACAUCUUAAACUAUAUAUAACAGUACCUUUACAUAAAAACAAACUGCCAAAAAAAAAUGUUAAUGGGAGAGAAACAAGUCAUACCUAGAUCAAGAAUAGUGAGUUAUAAAGCCAAAAAUUGCAUGAUGAUGCUACACUGAAAUAUUAAGUGAGAUUUCUAGGACUGUGAGUUUCCCAGCUAAAAACUCGAGAUAUGUGUAUUUUACCAUCCUUUCAUGAAAAAGUGUUUCUUAGAACGGGUUGGAAUUCUUUUUGAAUGUAAAUUCAUGUUAAAUUCAUGGCUUACAAAAUUAAUGAACUGAUAGAAGGGGAAAAAAAAGCCUGUUUAUUAAAGUGUUUUACCAAACUGACAUAACCUUUGAAAAUUCUGGGAUUACCUAUUAAAGUGACUCUAAUUGGCCCCAAGAAAUGUAAAAACAAAUUACUGUCUCUGAAUGCAAAAAGCAUAAACAGGGAAAGUAAAUGGUUCCUGACCAAGUUUUUAUUUGCACUUAGUGUGUGUGUGUGUGUGUGUGUUCGAGUGAAAAGGACAGAAGCUGUGGGUGAACAGGCCUUUUGCUUCUGCCACCUUUGUCAGCUCCACAUGGGAUUCUCAGACAGACACUUACGUGAUCCUCAUGUCUGAACCAAACUUGAGGAUGCCAUUAUUAUGAUGCCGAUCAGUGGUUACAACUGUGGCCGGCCACUGUCCUAACAAGUCAGAAGAGAGAUUCUUUGCCAAAAUCUUCAGGGGAAACGACACGAGUACCCUUUGCUUUUCCUCAACGAACUUUCCUUCUACUUAGGGUUUUAGGGCAUUUGUACAAAUGAUUUGUUCCUUGGGUCUGAAUCUUGGGGAUGUUUAUCAUUUUCGUUGCUUUCAGAAAAUAGUCUGCAUUUCCUUCUAUUACCUGGACCAUUUUCCUGGCUUUUUAAAAAAAAUUAUUAUUCAAAUGGAAAAGCGGCGAGCCCAGAAUGAGCCGACGAAUUGAGCUCUUCCUUCUCUCGAACACGGGGGCACCUCUACCCGCUACAGACUUGAAGAUUUUACUCACUUCCUUUCAUCCCCUCGCUCGGUUUUGGAGGGUAGGGGCAUGAAGUGGUUGAAUCUAAAACUGACAGAAAACCAAA
rnacentral:lncRNA from 1 species